CUUGGUCAUUUAGAGGAAGUAAGAGUCGUAACAAGGUCUCCGUUGGUGAACCAGCGGAGGGAUCAUUACAGAGUUGCAAAACUCCCAACCCUUUGUGAACGAACCUACCAGUUGCCUCGGCGGCGAGCCUUUCAGGCGGACCGCCGAAGGAAUACAAACUCUUUGCAUUAUAGUAUCUCUGAUUACUUAUUCAAUAAGUUAAAACUUUCAACAACGGAUCUCUUGGUUCUGGCAUCGAUGAAGAACGCAGCGAAAUGCGAUAAGUAAUGUGAAUUGCAGAAUUCAGUGAAUCAUCGAAUCUUUGAACGCACAUUGCGCCCGUUAGUAUUCUGGCGGGCAUGCCUGUUCGAGCGUCAUUUCAACCAUCAAGCCCUAGGCUUGUGUUGGAGCCCUGCGGCUGCCGCAGCCUCCUAAAAACAGUGGCGGGCUCGCUAUUACACCGAGUGCAGUAGUUUACUCUUCGCUCAGGGCGUGUGGCGGGUGCUGGCCGUGAAACCCCCUACUUCUUAAGGUUGACCUCGGAUCAGGUAGGAAUACCCGCUGAACUUAAGCAUAUCAAUAAGCGGAGGA
rnacentral:rRNA from 1 species